AUGUUUACUCAGGAAUGCAGGUGGUUACACAUUCGACCCAAAACCUACUGAAACCUCCCUUAUUUUUACACUACUCCCAGGAACGAAUAGAGAGACAGGGCUAGCAACUCUCUGCUUAAAAUACGAGAUAAGAGAGCGACCCUUUGACAAGAUGAUAGGUUCUAAGACGCUCGUUCUCUUUGUUGCGCUGUCUCUCGUGGCUUCGGUCAUUCUCGCUAACGACCAAGCAGUGAUACCAAAGCAAGAAGCAAACACGUUUAACAAGAUCUUCGCGAGGAGCAAGCGUCUGUUUGGGAACUGGAGGGAAGGAGUGCGAGAAAACAGCGGGCCAAGGAAAUGCAUCUACGUGCAAAACGGCAAAAUGAAAAAGAAGUCAUGCGCCGUGCCACCAGGCCAUGGCCAAGAGCCGUGAAGAUGAGAAAGGGCUUGGGUCUAAUAAUUUGUAGUCCAAGAUGGAACUAGCCUAAUUUUGGCAGUAAAGUAAAUAAUAUUACCUAUGAAAUCCUAGUGAUUUUGGCAAAUAACCGUCGUGAAGGCAGAGAAUCUGUAAACGUCUUGCGUUUUAACUUUUACUGUAACAAUAACACUAAAAACCUUUCAUGAAUAAAAAAUAAUAAAAAGUC